UACACAGUUGUACCUUGUGAACCGUACCAAACUAUUCAGGGGUCGGCUUGUCCGUUAAAUGGUCGUCGGACGCGAGAGAUCGCGGCCGCUCGACCGGCCCCGCACGCGUUUUGUUUUUUAUAAACAUAUGUGUACCUGUCUGACCAAGCGUUGCGGCCGGCCCAAGGGUCGGUCGCRGCAAUUAGAGCAAAAAACGAGAUACAACUUUUGACGGUGGAUCUCUUGGCUCACGCAUCGAUGAAGAACGCAGCCAGCUGCGAUAAGUAGUGUGAAUUGCAGAAUUCAGUGAAUCAUCGAAUCUUUGAACGCAAAUGGCGCUCUUGGGUUCUCCCAGGAGCAUGUCUGUCUGAGUGUCGGAUAUCAUCCAACGCACGCCAGCGUGCGGAAUUGAGGCGUCACGGUCCGUACUGCACGGACCGUGUCCCUUGAAAGUCAGAGAGACUCGCCGCGUCGCGGGAAGAUUCCCCGUGCACACCAGCGGAGGCUAAAAUGUCUUUUGCCCUUCGCGUGCCGGGAAGUCGCCGCGUGCGGCGGUCGUCKUCGGGCGAUC
rnacentral:rRNA from 1 species